rnacentral:lncRNA from 1 species
GAAUGCAUUCUCUGAUCUUCUCUUUCUUGGCUGUGGAGAACAGAAGUUGAAGGAAGAUUGCAGCUUUGGAAAAAGGCAACCUCAGGAAGCAAAGUUCAUUCUCAGUUCCAACCUGGGAGAGGCACAGAGACCCCACAGUUCUCCCUCUGGGAACAGCAGGCCCCAGCCUGACGCAGGUCCUCUCCAGUCGGACACCACCACCAUGAUCCCAGCUGGUCCUCAGAGGGGCUGCUGGCCUCCAAAGCCUGCUUCCAACACUGCAGGGUGCAGUCAUUUCUUUCUUGUCCAUCAACAUCCCCCUUCCUGCGUGAGAGUCCACCCACAGACUUCUCCCAUCCAGAAGCAGCUUUACGGGUUUUUUAGGGGCCUAUUGCCUGCCCUCCAGCGCCAGGAGUCUCUACCCCUGGGAUCAGGAAAUGGGGGCUGCGGGCAGGGUUACAGGGAGGAGUCACUUCCUG